AGCCCCACGCCCGCCGCCUCGCCUGCCUUCCCUCAGUCCCAGCCCUCCCUCCGCUCCUGUCGCGUCCCCGCCCGGCCCUGGAUGCGAAGGCGAGGGGCGGCCGGAGAGAAUCCGGACUGGGCUUUGAGCAGGUCUCGCCUUCUCCCCUGCCAUGAGCGGAGCGGCUGCCCAGCCUGUGCUCAAUUUUAUUUCAAUUUUGGGGGUUUAUGGGGCGGUUGGGCUAGUUUUUUUGGGGGUUUUGUUGUUUUUUUUUUUUUUUUCCCCCCCCAGAUCUUGAAGCUCAGCAAUGUCUUAAACGGAUUACACGGAGGAGGGGUUGAAGCUGAAAACCUCAUUCAUCCUCACGACGGUCCUAUUCAUUGCUGAAAUAGGUGUAGCGUAGGAGCCGACACAUCUGCUGGGUCCUUUGAACCUACAGCCUGCCUCCUCCUAGUGCUCUGGAACAGCAGUUGGUGGCUUUCCCCUAGAUUCACCCUCUGGUGUCCCCAGCUGAUGGACGUACCAAGACUUUCUCUCUUCUGGUACCCAGGACAGCAGGAAUUUGUAUCCAUCCUUUAGUUACAGUUCCUCAUAACAAAGGAAAAAAUAGGAGCUGGUCUUCCCCGAAGCAGCUCAGCAGUUGUGUGGGCUGCUUGAGCUGGCUGCAGCAGGGAGGGCAGGGCUGCAGAGUGCUCUGAAUCCUUAUCAUGUGCCUGCUACUGGGAGCCCCCAUCUCCUCUGGUAAACCAGGAGGCCCACUGAAUAUUCCUCACUUCCCUCUCACCCUCUUGAUGGGGAUAAUCACCGAAGCAGCACCUCUUGUGGUGCAGGGUUAGGCUUGUCUUAUUGCACAUGCCACAAAAGGGGCUCACAGGCCAUCUCUACAGGGUAGAUGGCCUCCAGUACUUUAUGCCUGGCCAAAACCUUCUAUGUCCAUAUGCUGAGUCUUCACAUGACCUCUGCUGAGCAGGCAGAGCUGCUGGAGCACUUUUCUAGGAAAGCCCAUUGCUGUUUAGCACAGAAGAUGGAAUGUGAAAACCUGAGCUCAGACCGAGGUCCUGAGAGUGGUGUUCACACUCUAGGGUGAAUAUAUUUGCUAAUUCAGACAUCAGGCAUGGGAUGAACCUUUCCUCCUGGUCCCAGGUGUCCUUGGGUGCCCCUGGGUUGGGUGGAUCCCGUCAAGUGCUCUCUGCCUGCUCUGCUCACUUUCACCUCCACCCAAGACAGAGGCUGGAGGAGAGAAAAUGAAGCCUUUCCUUCGUGGUGGGGUGUCCUAGUGAGACCCGGCAUGGACAGGGAGAGUUAGUCAGAAACCACUGGAAACAGAGCAACCUGGGAGGAAUCUGCUCACUCACACAGCUGCUAUUGCCUAACGUGAGCUUUGCACAACACAGUAAUUGGUUCCAACUGACUCACAGCAGAGUUUCACGUCAGGAAGGGCGUGCGGCUGCUGCGUCGGGGACACGGCAUUGUAGAGGUCCUCAGCUGGCAAAGGAGCUGGGCAGAGAGCAGCAAGAGGUGAUUCUCCUUUGAGUAAGGAGACAGAGCCAGAUCCUUACUGUUCCGAGUAAGGAAACACAGCAGGUCCCUUUCUCUGCAUUGUGUGGGGGGCUUACUCCUCUGUCCAGAGUGGGCACUCUUAUUGCAGAUAUUUUAAGAGAUCUGCAGAGGCAAGUGAUAGUGUGGCUGAUUGUAAACUAAUACUAAUAUUAACUAAGAGCUUUUCUUACCUUUGAUGUAAGCUGUAAACAUUAUAUGAGCUCAAAUCAACUGUAUUUGAAUAUAUUCGAAAUCUGCUAAAAACAGACUCACCCUUCUCUCUUUGUUUGGUGUUACUGGCCAAUAACAUUAGCAGUGCCAUAAUUGUAUCCAUUAAAGAGGGGAUAAGUGACAACAUAAAUAUAAAGGCAACAUGAAUUCAGUCUUUGUUCACACAGGCGAACACUAGGAUUUACUCAUUCUUGGUCUGCAUUUGUUGUAGCCCUACUUAAGCUGACAGCCAGAAUGAAACCAGGUUUGAAACAGCUCUGCUCAGAUGCACCGUGGUUCCCUUACAGCUAAAAUAUAACACUUUUGAGUGAGAUGAGUUUUGAGGCACAGGAUUGUUUCGCACUAGAGUUGUGAUUUCUGACACUACCCUUUCCAGAGAUUUAUAAUAUCAGUGGGAUAGUGCUUUCUUUCUUUUCUUUCCUUUUCUUUUUUUUUUUUAAACUCGUUUAUAUAUGAAUGAGGCAGUGCCCUUUUAUUUUCUUUUCUUUUCUGUUCUUUUUGCUACAGCUCACUGGCUGCUUCCCUUUUUUCCCAGCCUUGUAGUAUUUCCACCCUCCUCUCCCUUCCCCCAGUCUGCCACAGUGUCAGUGAGAAACAAAACUGCUGAAACCUGAGCUUUCUAGCUAGAGAAGAUGAAGAAUGAGAGGAGGUGGUAAUUAAACCCUCCCCCAUAUUAUUCAUGCAAAGGAAUUGUCUUUGAACACCACUUCAUCCUGGGAGCCUCUCCGAGUUUAAAGAGAAAGUUGAGUUGUCAUUCUGGGGCCAUAAUCUAAUCACGGUGUCCCCCUUUGAUUUAAAAAUCUUCUUAGGAAGUGGCAAAUAUCUCUCCCUGUCUACCCUUUUAUAUUUUAUUUUUAAUUUUUAGUCUUAAGAAUGUGGUGCUUGUUGUUUUGGCAUUUUUCUUAUAGUGCAGGAUUUUACCACCCAAGUUAGGCUGGUUUCUCUCACUGGCUAUGGUUUAAGAGGUAUCAGCCUUUAGCAGUAUCAAGAACAGAAAAAUAUUCCUCUCUGUAAUUACAGACAAUUCUCUGUAUGCACGGUAAGACCGAAAGGCUCUCCAGGAGUCUCCAUCUUUCAAGGUGUUUCCAGAUUCAUGCUAUCAGAAGCAGCUUUGAUAUAAGUGGUGCUUCUUGGGACAGGCAUCUACCAUCUGCUGGAAGAGAUCUACCAUUUUUAAUCACUUGGCCACUAAAGAGCACUGAAUGUGUUUCUUUAUCCUCUUCUUGCCCUGUUUACUCUGAAGAAGCCCAGCAAAACAUCUCUAAACAUCAAUCCAUUUCCACACAGACUGUAAGUGCUGCCACUGACACACAGGUAUAUGCCCACACACAGAAAGUAGGACACGAUGAUCUUAGCGGUCUUUUCCUUUUCAAGGUUAUUCAUUAUAUGAUUCUCUGAUUCUCUGCUAUUUAACAUGCUUUGUGUUCUUCCUUGAGAGGGCUGCUCUGCUUCAGUGACUCGAAGAAGAUAAAAAUUAUCCAUUAUGAUUUCUGAGAUUUUCAAGUGAAAGCUCCAGUAUUACUCAAGGGAUCGGUGAGAUAGGGCCUAUUCCCACUUCUACCAACUGCCCUCCAGGUACUGUCCACCCUUGCUGUCAGAAUUUAUUAGGUCUGUUCAGGGCACAAAUGCUUGUUCAAGGUGCUCCUGCAGAUUCUUGCAGAGUUCAGAGUCUGCAAGAAUAAAGAAAUAAAGGCAAAAUUAAGAUGUGGUCAUUGCAGGCUGGGGUGUAUCUGAGCACAUGCAAGUGAUUGCAUGGUGAAUUUUGGCUCCUUAGCAGUGUAAUGAUGCUGAGGAAUUGCCUGUCCAAUCGUAAGCACAAACACCUGGGCUGUGUGUCUUGCCUGAGGCAAGAUUUCAGGACAUCUGAAUGCUGCCCUUUGAUUAUAAUAUAAAAAAGGUAAAAAAAAAGAUCAUUUUGUUGUGGACAAUAAAAAAACUUUAGGAAAAAAUCAAUAAUAAGAAAAGUAAUGACAUAAAGUAGAUUUCUCUGUCAGUUUAAAGCUUUCAACACAUAGCUUCAUUUCAAAAACACCAAAUGCUAGUAGCUCCCCUUGAGCCCAUAUGGCUCUGCUCAGUAGACACACUUUAAAAAAAAUCCUUACCAGUUCUUUAGAUAUCUAAAUAUACACCUGUCACACUUAUUUUAAACAUCUUGUCUUAGAUUUUUGGUUCUAACAAUUUUUAGGUACAGAUUUACAGCAGAGUGAUAGUUUUGUUUUAAUCUAUGUCUGGUCAAAUCUCUUUUGUGCUGCUUACAUAAUUAUCACUUUAAAAGCUGCUAAGCAGUUUUUGCAUAUACUUCUCAUUCUUGAGUUCAUCUCUGCUUACUUUGUAUAUCUAAGUAUUAGAUAUUGAGCCCAAGAUGGUCACUCAAAUUCUCUCACUUUUCAACGAAGAAACAUAGGCACUGACAAUGGCUGUUCGUAUCUUCCUGAGGUUGUUUGGAUGACUGUUUCAUGAGGAAUCUUGAGGGAUCAUUUUUAAAGUGCCUAAUUCUUAGGCAGCUAGAUGAGAAAGAGCUUAUGCUUCAUACCCUCAGCCUUGACUUUCACAGCAACCAAAUCUGCUUCAUUAAGAAUUGAACCAGUUUAGCUAAAAUGCUGCAUAAUUAUUAUAUAAAACAUCUGAUAUUCCCAAAUGCCAGUGGGGCACAGCUGAUAAAUCUCUGCUUUGUUUCCUGCUUCCCACGCGAAAAUGGCCAGGCUGAACACUGUCUGGUUUUGAGUUAGAGCAAUGAGAAGAGAAGAUCACCUGAAAGAUGCCUCCCUCUGUAAAUGUGUAUUCAAAUACACAAGGAGAUGAUGUGAAGGAAAGCAGAUUUUGCAGCAGUCUAGUUAGAGAUUCAUAUUUGUAUUUUUUUAGAUAAGCCCCUUCAUAUAGCUGAAUAGCUCUUUUUUCCAACAAACAGAUAAAGCUUGUCUUUUUUUGUGAAAUACACCAUAACUUGCACAAUGGGGUGAAACUCUCAUAAACAGUUUGAAAGAAAGUAUCUGUCUUUUGCUAAACAGAUGUGGGUUCAAUUUCAGAUGUCAACAAUAAAAAAAUAAAAUGCUUGACAACAGGGAAAUAAAUGAACAAUAACAUGGAAAUUCAUAAUUUUCUGUAAAUUAAGCCAGACUGUUAGAAUCACAGCUUCUGUAUUUAGUAAAAUAUAUUGCAGUUCUGUGGAAGCUGGUUGUCCUUCUCUUAGGUGAUGUUUAUCUGCACAAAAUACACAUGGAAGGAUACCAAAGUGUGCUUCUUGAAUCUCUCUGUAGUUUUAUGUUGGUCAGUUUACAGACGAAUUCAGGAUGCCCUAACCUAAUCUGAAUGAACUCAGGCUUUAUAAAAUCACAUAAACACCCACAGUAGAAAAAGCAGUAUUCUGUUCAGAAUAAAACCAAACCACAGCCAAACCACCCCACUAUAACCCAUACCCCAGAUCUCUGAUUUUCAUUCAAUAAACCCAAAUGAGUGAAUAGGCAGGGUCAUUGAGGUGGCUUCCUGAGCAUAAUGUGACAAAGGCUGAAUUUGUGUUUAGAAUUGAUGGAUUCAGUGACUCCAAAUCAAAGUUGUGGGUCUGGUUCCUUAAAAUGACCAACACAUCUGUGAUCAGAAAUUGCAUCAACAUUAGACAAUUUUGUAGUGUGUAAUGUGGCUUACAUAUGUGGCUAGAAGGCAGGAAAAACUAUUUUUUUUUUUAAAGGCAUUGCUUUUCAUUUUUAAGAUAUAAAGCAGUGUAAAAGCCAUUUACAGAAAAAUGACCCCGAACCACUUAUCUUUACAAUUGUGUUUAUUUGUUUCAAGAACAAAUACAAAAUGGUUAAAUCUUACUAUUAUUUUUGGUGACAUACGUUGGGUUUCCUUUGUACUCCACUGUUUGUGAUUAACAGCACCAUAAAGAAAACAAAGCCGUGAUUAUUACUACAGUAACUGGAGAGGAAAAUAUCUCCUGAUUGAAGUAAGGAGUAAGUUUCACAAAACACCAUGGCAAUUCAUUGUGUAACUUGGGGCAAGCACCUUUAAAUUUGAGUGGAGGGUUAUGGGGGUCUUAAUUGAGUUAUUCAUUAAUAUUUGUCAUCUACAAAAUGAAUUUAGUGUCAUUGAAAUCUUUAGACACUUCUAGAUUUUUGUGGUAAAAAUCAUCUUUAUGGUAUUGGUCAUUUAAUUAGUCAAUGAUGUAUUGGGAAGCCAAUGUUAUGUCACAUCCCCAUCAGCUUUCAUUACUGGCAUCUGUGAUGAUCUUUCCUUUCAUGGUCUGAGGUCAGCCUUGGUGACUUGCAUCUUGGAUGCCCACCCUUCCUCUCAGAUUCCCUGAACCCUACUGUCACCUUCCUUCUGACGCUUUUAAUUUCCAUUUGCAUUUUUUUGCUCACUGACCUUUAGUGAUAUGUGUCCUUCACUGGACCUUGUCUGUGCUGGUAACAGAGGGCUGUGGGUAUUUUAAGGUGCAUCCUGAUUUACACAAACAGCUGUGUUUUGCAUCCCUCCAUGACAGAAAAAAUCACCCCAAAUUCCAGCAUUUAGUGGCAGCGCAUGGAGACUCGCUUUGAUGCUUUGGCAAGCGUGAAUGUCCAUACUGUCUCAGUGACAAGAAUUCCUUACUUAUCUCCAAGGAUUCAUGGACUCCUAGGAAAGAUGUUCAAAUUUUAGCCAUUUCAGUUCAGCAGGUUUGGUUCUCAUGCAGUCAAAGCUCAAGGGUAUUGCUUUGAAUGCUUUAACUAGAAGCAAGAGCCAGAUAAACACAGAGCAGAAGGCCAAUGAAAUCCUGUUGUAAAUCUAUCAAGCAAACACAAACCCCUCCCUGAUCAUCAGCCUGGUUCCAAAAAUGUGCUUAAUGGAAGAUUCAUGUGCCAAAGGAUUCCUGUUACUGGAUUGUGCAGAGCUGAGGUAUUAUUGAAUUCUGCAUCUUUGUCCACAUUUCCAGCUAUGUGACUGGAGCUCGUGUCCUGUGCUGCACUGUCCCAGUAGCUGUAGAAACCAAUGGAAGUAUAAUUGAACAUGUGAGAUUCACUUGAUUCAGUUAUUCAAAGCAUGUGGCUGCACUAUCUUCCAAAACGCCCUCCAGCCAAGCAACCCUUAGCUUGGCCAUAGCUAAAAAAUGUUCUAAAAUUCGCUUCUGAGGUCAGCAGCGCUGUGAUACAGCUGAAGGAGUGCAAUAGCUGCGAGCCUUGCUGAGCACAUUUCAUACAAGGCUCAGAAGCGCCACUGCCGAGGAUGCUGCUGGCUGCGGCCGCUUGCAGGAAACCCAUCCAGGCUCAUUCUUAAAAAGUCACAGAUACGCACUGGAAAAUCCUUGAUAUUUAUUUUUGGAUACAGGGCUAAACCCUGGCUUUGUAGAGGUGAGGAGAGUUUCCAUUGAUUAGAUUAGAGCCCAGACUUCUUUUUCCAGCUUGAUUUCUAGCUGAGCCCUGUCUCAGGCUACUUCCUGAAGGAGUGGCAAGGAGAGUUGUGCUUUUUAUGUUCACCAAGGGCAGGCUCUGAGGCUGGGAAUCAGCCUUAGCUACCACCAGUGCACUAACAGAGUGAUUAACAGGAAUUUGAUAAUGGCACACUCUGAAUACAGACAGUAUAGAUUUGAGUUCUGGGUAGCUGCAGAUUACUAAUCUCUGCAGCUGCUGCUGAGACAUUUUCUGGUAAUAGCUAACAAAUUCUUCUGAAAGAUCAUCUUCCCCACCAGAAGGAAACACAUUUACUCAAGUGGAUUACGUUUCUCAUCCAUUAUUUUUAAUUUCUUCUCUUAUUACUCUGUGCAAAAUAAGAAUAGCCAGCUCAUCUCACCUUUUCUGUCUGUACAUUUUCCUCCUUUUUCAAGGAAGGUCAGGCUUACCCCCUUUGCAGAUGGGGAAACUGAGUCAUAGGGAGAGGUGUCUGAGGUCAUUAAGAAGCAAAUGGAAAAAAACGUUGUGUAAAUUCGUCUCUAGAGUCCCUGCCCAGUUGCUUGCUCCCUUAAAUGUCAGUCCCACAGGAUUUAAGCUAAAGCUAAUGGUGAUAAAUAGGAAACUCCCCACUGACUUAGAUGAUCUUUGAAAUCAACACACGUCUAUAUAUAUAUAUAUAUAUAUAUAUCUCCUUCCAUCCUUCCACAACCUCAAGUGAUUUUAAUAUCAUAGUAUCUUGAUCUCAUCUGCAAAGUCUUAGAUUGACACAGCAAUCUCAGUUCCUGUGGCUGGUGAACAAUAACAUUAUCACUGCUGCUGCAGGAUGACUGAGGGGCUGAUUAAACACACCCAGAGGAGAGUUUGCCCAGUGAACGAUGCAGAGUCCCAUUGCUAUAGAUCCACAUGUCAAGCAGACUUUCCAGACCUAGAUGUCUGCUGCACUGGAACAUUGAAAGGUUUUCCCCUGGCUGGAUAAUGUUCUCUGGGGCUCAUGGGGUGGGUCCAGCUCUAUGGAGGACAUGAACCACACCAUGCCACCAGAGACCAGAGGAGACAGCCCUGCCCCUCUCCGGUGCACAGGCAACAUUUUCCGGGAAGAUGUGGAGCCCCCAAAGUUACCUUCCAAGCCCAGCACUGGAUCUUCUGUUCUUCCUCACACCUCCCAAAUUUCUGCUCUCCCAGAUGACAAGGAUUCCUCUGCUUGGCUGUGGGAAAUCUAUAAAGCCCGUGACGAGGUCAGGGCUGGGCAGCAUGCAGGCAGCUCUCCCUCCAAGGAGGGCUCUCCCUGGCAUCAACAUGGCACUCUGUCCUACUCCCAGCUCCCACACCCCAACCAACAUGCACUGUGCAAGUGCUCAGUGUGUCCCAGGUGGAUCUAACCAGCUGGAUGGGACACAGAAGCUCCCAGGGAGGCCACAGUGCUGUAAAGGAGGCUGUACCACUUAGAGUCUGAGCUGGUAGCCAUUUGUCUGGUUUUCCCUUCCUGUGAGUGAAGUGUCACCUAAAACAUGUCUCCUUGAACUGCCCGGAUGGCUGAGGUAUCACCAAAUGUCUGGGUUUCUGCGGCUGCUGUUCUUUAGCUGGGUGUUCACUGUGGGAGUGAUCACUGUCGCCACUGAGCUUUCCAACUCUGACAUCCAGGACAGUGCCUGGGGUCCCAGUGAGGCUCCAGGAGUGAGGUAAGCAGGUGCAAGGUGUCUUCUCCAAGGUCUGGAUGGGAACCAGAGCUGGCAGUGCUUUGGGCUGCUCCCUGGGUCUGCUUGUGCCACUUCCUCUGCCCAUUCUCACUCAGUGCUCCUCUAAGCAUUUUCUACAAGAAAAGGGAGCAAUAAUGGCUCCAGUGAGUGAGUUUUUAUUUCCUAAAUAUAAGAACUCAAACACUCCAAGUCACAUGAGUGCUACUAAUCGCCAUUUUCCUGCCCAGCCUGUUAAAACUUCCACUAACUCAUCCUGAGUCCGCCAUUUAAAGAUACGAUAACAUUUUGUAUCCAAUUUCCCCUAUAAUUAUAUUGUACACACUGUUAGCCUUGCUGAGAGCGAGACUAUCAGUAACAAAACACUCCAUCAACUUCCAGCACUUUAACAAAAUCCCCUUUUUUAUUUUAUCAGUCUGAUGUGAAUCCCUCUGAUCAGGUGUUAACAAGCGGGGCUAUUUUCCCUCGAUAAUCCUCUAGCACUAUAAAUACAUAUUCACUACUCAGACAUCAAAUCACUUGGACUGCAAGAGGUUUUAGGUUUCCCACUUCUACCUCAUUUUUAUAAAUCUUUGUUGUCAAAAUCUCUCAUGUUAAUUGUCCAUAACAGCAGCAUCAGUAUCAUAUCUGGGAAGAAAAAAAUAGUUGGCUUUAAGGAAAGGAAAAGCCCUUAUUUAUGUUGCUACAUGUUGUAAGGAAUUUAUUUGAUUUAUGUUAGAUUAUCCAUAUACAUAAAAUUUUAAGGAUUUUAUCAGUGGUCCACAUCUAUCUGUCAAGUACAUCUCAUUUUUGCUUGAUGGGUGAAAUAUCUUUGGUGAUCACAACCAUACAGCAGACGAGAGCUGAAUUCUGUUUUGUCCUUGGAAAAGAGACUUCACCUUCCUGCGCUUAUUGCUCCACCUGGAAUGGCUGCAGUCUUUUUGAAUAUACCAGCAUCUCUUUUCGUCCUUCUGGGAGAUUCCCAAAACAGGAAUGGGAACUGGACAGAAGACAGCCAGUAACAGAAGAGCCCUGAGAAAAAAAACAAAAACCAAAUAACCCCCCAAAAAUGGUAUAAGUAGACAAUAUAUUUGUCUCCUAAAUUUGUAUAAGAACACAACUAAUUCCUGCCUCAUUACACAGUUUCUUACUUGGUGUUAAGAAUGUUAUAAUCCUCUUGAGAGAAAAGGCAAAUAAUGACGUUGGCAGGAAUUAUGAUCAGAACUGCACAAAUUUUCAGUCAAAAUCUCUUAGGACUGUAUAUAACAAAAUUUCUAAUAUUGUCUCUACCAUUCUUUUUUCUAUAACUUUUUAAAAAGCUGUAAAUAAUUUUAAUGCUGAUUUUUCCCUUAGAAUUCACUGAGUCAAGGCCAUAAUAGUUGAAAUCCAGAGCGACUAUCUAAUUAAUUAACUUAAUUUAAAUAUUUAAUAUUCAAGCCAAAUAUUGACAUUAAAUUAAAUUAUAUAUUGAAUGCUGCACAGGAAAAUGCCUACAUCAAUAUUUACACCUUUCUGGCUUUGUGUUGCAUUGAAUUCUUUAGAAAUUUUUCCCAUCACUGCCCAGGAACUCAAUGUGUGAGGGAUGGAGCACCUCUCCUACAAAGAUAGACUGAGGAGCUGGGAUUGCUCAGCCUGGAGAAGAGAAGGCUUUGGGGAGACCUCAUUGCAGCCUUCCUGUACCUAAAGAGGGCUUAGAAAAAGAAGGGAGAGGGAUUUUUCAUGUGGGCAGACAGUGACAGGACAAGGGGCAAUUGUUUUA